AUAUAUUUUUUUCCUAAUAUGAUGACAAACAUAAAAGUUACAUGACGCCCUCAGGAUGAUUCACAGGCAAAUAAAACCAUAACCAAGAAUCCUUCCUCCAUCUACAUAAAUCAACUCUGGAUCGAAUCAUGGUCCAUCAAGAUUCAGUAUAUUUUUAGAACCAGCUUGCCGUUGGACAUCAACCUUCUGGAACUUGAUGCUAAAUUUCCAGCCAAGGU
rnacentral:lncRNA from 1 species